rnacentral:pre_miRNA from 1 species
AAUGGAAUUUUUGGGUCACAUUGCUAACUCUAUGUUUAACUUUUUGAAGAAUGACCAAAUUGUUUCCCAAAGUGGUUGCCCUAUUUGAUAUUCACACUAGCAAU